UUGAUUUCCCUCUCAAAUUUCAGAUUUCACAAUUGGAUAUCAAUUUCUCUCAUUACCCAACCCAAUCGAUAUGCUUUUCCUCAGCUCGCUCGGUCGUCUCCUCCUAUUGCUGCUCACCAGACGAACCACCACUGAUCACCAGACGACCCGUCAUCGCCACUCAUUCCUUGUCGCUUCCAUCCUCCCUUCAGCCCUAUGAAGCAAGAGACUCUCCUUGACGGUGCAUUGAAUGUAAUGAUUUGGCAAUGCAUAAUAACUGGGUAACCAUUCAUUGGAAGUCUUCGCUAUAAGUAACAUCCUAUACAUAUUUAUAGGAUAAUUCGUGUUUUCUUGCGGUUGAUUUUCCCUCAAAUAUAGUCGCCAAUGGAACCAUAUUGAUGGAUACAUGUGAAGGCGAGGAACUAUUGAAGUUAUGUUGGAAGUAGCUUUACAAGGUGAAACUUUACUACCAAUUCCACUUAAAGAGGAGUAUAUUGAGAAGGUAAAAGAGGCUGCGGGGCACAUACUAAGUUGGCCGAGACAUCUAGUCAUUCGAUGCUAUGACAUGGAAAAAGUGGUGGCGAAACGAAAGAGAAAACCUGCCGAGGAAGACAAAAAAGAAAUAGAAAGUAAGAAAUAAAAAGAAACGGUCAAGAGAACCUGCUGAAGAAAACAAAAAAACUAAUUGAAAAAGAACCCUGUGAAAAAAGAGAAAAUCAAAGGGAAAAGAGAAUGUGUCGAGGAAAAGGCAAAAGAGAAUGAAGGAAAAAAACAUGACGAGAGCACAAAGGAAUCAAAGGGUUAGAGUGGAAAGAAGUUGCGUUUUGACGAUGAGAGCACAUUUAGUCGAUAGUGCAUUACUUUCAAAGGGGGAUUCUAGAAGACUAUAGUGUGAGUACGAUCUAUUUGGGCAUGAUAGUUACAUGUACUUAAAUUGUGAUGAUUUUGAAGCGGUUUUUACAUUCACCGAGCUGACCGGUGCUGUCAUCACUUCUUAUAAUGUUCCUGUAUGAGCAAAUUAAGAAAGAGCAAAUUCAUGAUCGUGGAAUAUUUUUUUAUGAAUCCGUCUGCAAUUUCGCGGGCUGAUCAAAGCAAACCCAAACACAUCGAGGAUGCAAGUAGAGUGGUUGCAGAUCAAUUGUAUAAAAGAAAGGUACUAAACCUGAAAACAACCAUUUGCUAUUAUCUUGAUUUCUUAUGGCCUAGAAGUGUAGAUGAGCAGUUGAGGCAAAUUAUUGAUUCCUAAGUAAUAUAAAUUAUCAUAAUGGAUGAUAAAAGAGUUGGAAUAUACUUUGAUAUAAUUUUGAUUUUUUAUAGGGCAAUGGUCGUGUAUGCUUCACGAAGUGGUGCCAACAUAAGGGUUAAACUCAUCUGGAUUAACGCUACGUGUCCACGUCAGCCAGGAGGUACUGAAUGCGGCUACUAUGUGAUGAAGUUCAUGAAGGAGAUAGCUUACGAAGGAGUUGAAAUACUUGACAAUGAUAAUGUUGGGAAAGGAGUAGAGGAAUAUUCAGCUGCGGAUAUGGAUGGCAUUCGCGAAGAUUGGUCGACUUAUGCGGUUACCUCUAUUUUUAAGUGACAAAUUGUAUUUUAGGUGUUGACGAUGUAUUGACAAACAAUUCUUUUUUUUUUUGUUAACGUUAAAAUGUUCGUAGUAUACUUGACAAAGGAUUAUGUAAUGGAUUGUUUUGGUG